UACGUAGGGGGCAAGCGUUGUCCGGAUUUAUUGGGCGUAAAGGGUGUGUAGGCGGACUUUUAAGUCAGCGGUGAAAUCUCCGGGCUCAACCCGGAAACUGCCAUUGAUACUAUAGGUCUUGAAUGUUGUUGAGGUGGGCGGAACGGGUCAUGUAGCGGUGAAAUGCAUAGAUAUGACCCGGAACACCGAUUGCGAAGGCAGCCCACUAAGCAACGAUUGACGCUGAGGCACGAAAGCGUGGGGAUCAAACAGG
rnacentral:rRNA from 1 species